rnacentral:misc_RNA from 1 species
AACAACCCAUAUCUAAACCCUAACCAGCGAGCUCCUCCUCCUUAUGUGUCUCAAUUACAAUAUCGGACUUCGGGUACGUCACACAAGUGAGCACAAACCCGCCCUCCAUCUGCUCAUCAUCCAGAAAGUUACCAUCAGACUGAUCAACCUCGCCGGCGACCAACUUCCCCGCGCAGGAUGAGCACGACCCCGCCCGGCACGAGUAAGGGAUGUCGAUGCCCUCCUCCUCAGCCUUGUCGAGGAUGUACUCGUCAUCGGGGCACUCAAACUCGACGGGGCCUUCUGGGGUGACGAGCUUGACUUUGUAGCUGGCCAUGGCGGUGACGCGGCCGCCGCGGGCGGAGCGGCCUAGGCUGAAGGCAGCGGGGAGGGCACGGAGGCUGGUGAUGGCCGGCUGGCGCUGGACGAAGGAGGUGCUGAGCAUGGUGGUGGAGAGGGAAGCCAUGUUGAGGGAAGGAUAAGGAGUGUGGG